CCGCGGUAAUACGUAGGGUGCGAGCGUUGUCCGGAAUUAUUGGGCGUAAAGAGCUUGUAGGCGGUUUGUCGCGUCUGCAGUGAAAAUCCGAGGCGCAACCUCGGACUUGCUGUGGGUACGGGCAGACUAGAGUAUGGUAGGGGAGACCGGAAUUCCUGGUGUAGCGGUGGAAUGCGCAGAUAUCAGGAGGAACACCGAUGGCGAAGGCAGGUCUCUGGGCCAUAACUGACGCUGAGAAGCGAAAGCAUGG
rnacentral:rRNA from 1 species